rnacentral:rRNA from 1 species
CGGCUCUGUGGACCAUAACUGACGCUAGACACGAAAGCGUGGGUAGCAAACAGGAUUAGAUACCCUGGUAGUUCACGCCCUAAACGAUGCAUAUUUGGUGUGGGUCAUUCAUUUGAUCCGUGCCGGAGCUAACGCGUUAUAUAUGCCGCCUGGGGAGUACAGUCGCAAGGCUGAAACUCAAAGGAAUUGACGGGGGCCCGCACAAGCGGUGGAGCAUGUGGUUCAAUUCGACGCAACGCGAAGAACCUUACCUAGGCUCGAACGGCUUUAGACAAUCCUCAGAAACGGGGACUUCCCGCAAGGGACUGGAGUCGAGGUGCUGCAUGGCUGUCGUCAGCUCGUGUCGUGAGAUGUUGGGUUAAGUCCUGCAACGAGCGCAACCCCUCUCCUGUGUUGCCAUACUUUAAUCGGUGGAACUCGCAGGAGACUGCCAGGGAUAACCUGGAGGAAGGUGGGGAUGACGUCAAGUCCUCAUGGCCUUUAUGUCUAGGGCUACACACGUGCUACAAUGGACGGUACAAAGGGUCGCCAACCCGCGAGGGGGAGCCAAUCCCAAAAAACCGUUCUCAGUUCGGAUUGCAGGCUGCAACUCGCAUGCAUGAAGCUGGAAUCGCUAGUAAUGCCGUAUCAGAACGAUGGCGUGAAUACGUUCCCGGGCGUUGUACACACCGCCCGUCACAUCACGAAAGUGGGUUGUACUAGAAGUAUGCAGGCUAACCCGCAAGGGAGGCAGCGGCCCAAGGUAUGACUCAUGAUUGGGGUGAAGUCGUAACAAGGUAACC